rnacentral:rRNA from 1 species
GACGAACGCUGGCGGCGUGCUUAACACAUGCAAGUCGAACGAUGAAGCCGGAGCUUGCUCUGGUGAAUUAGUGGCGAACGGGUGAGUAACACGUGAGUAACCUGCCCUUGACUCUGGGAUAACUGCGGGAAACUGUAGCGAAUACCAGAUACGACCCUCGGAGGCAUCUCCUGGGGGUGGAAAGAAUUUCGGUCAAGGAUGGACUCGCGGCCUAUCAGCUAGUUGGUGAGGUAAAGGCUCACCAAGGCGACGACGGGUAGCCGGCCUGAGAGGGUGACCGGCCACACUGGGACUGAGACACGGCCGCGACUCCUACGGGAGGCAACAGUGGGGAAUAUUGCACAAUGGGCGCAAGCCUGAUGCAGCAACGCCGCGUGAGGGAUGACGGCCUUCGGGUUGUAAACCUCUUUUAGUAGGGAGGAAGCGAAAGUGACGGUACCUGCAGAAAAAGCACCGGCUAACUACGUGCCAGCCGCCGCGGUAA